rnacentral:rRNA from 1 species
UACGUAGGGUGCAGGCGUUAAUCGGAAUUACUGAGCGUAAAGCGUGCGCAGGCGGUUUGCUAAGACAGGUGUGAAAUCCCCGGGCUUAACCUGGGAACUGCGCUUGUAACUAGCAGGCUAGAGUGUGGCAGAGGGGGGUGGAAUUCCAGGUGUAGCAGUGAAAUGCGUAGAUAUCUGGAGGAACACCGAUGGCGAAGGCAGCCCCCUGGGCUAACACUGACGCUCAUGCACGAAAGCGUGGGGAGCAAACAGG